rnacentral:rRNA from 1 species
CAUGCAAGUCGAGGGGAAACGACAUCGAAAGCUUGCUUUUGAUGGGCGUCGACCGGCGCACGGGUGAGUAACGCGUAUCCAACCUGCCCACCACUUGGGGAUAACCUUGCGAAAGUAAGACUAAUACCCAAUGACGUCUCUAGAAGACAUCUGAAGGAGAUUAAAGAUUUAUCGGUGAUGGAUGGGGAUGCGUCUGAUUAGCUUGUUGGCGGGGUAACGGCCCACCAAGGCGACGAUCAGUAGGGGUUCUGAGAGGAAGGUCCCCCACAUUGGAACUGAGACACGGUCCAAACUCCUACGGGAGGCAGCAGUGAGGAAUAUUGGUCAAUGGACGAGAGUCUGAACCAGCCAAGUAGCGUGCAGGAUGACGGCCCUAUGGGUUGUAAACUGCUUUUAUAAGGGAAUAAAGUGAGUCUCGUGAGACUUUUUGCAUGUACCUUAUGAAUAAGGACCGGCUAAUUCCGUGCCAGCAGCCGCGGUAAUACGGAAGGUCCGGGCGUUAUCCGGAUUUAUUGGGUUUAAAGGGAGCGUAGGCCGGAGAUUAAGCGUGUUGUGAAAUGUAGACGCUCAACGUCUGCACCGCAGCGCGAACUGGUUUCCUUGAGUACGCACAAAGUGGGCGGAAUUCGUGGUGUAGCGGUGAAAUGCUUAGAUAUCACGAAGAACUCCGAUUGCGAAGGCAGCUCACUGGAGCGCAACUGACGCUGAAGCUCGAAAGUGCGGGUAUCGAACAGGAUUAGAUACCCUGGUAGUCCGCACGGUAAACGAUGGAUGCCCGCUGUUGGUCUGAAUAGGUCAGCGGCCAAGCGAAAGCAUUAAGCAUCCCACCUGGGGAGUACGCCGGCAACGGUGAAACUCAAAGGAAUUGACGGGGGCCC